GUGACCAAGAGAAUACAGCAGAAGUGAUGGCAUGUCACUUCUGAAGCUAGGUCAUAAAAGGUACUGGGGCUUUGUGAUAUAAUAAGAAAGACAUUCUAUCUUUGUCCACAGUGCCUGGCACGGAACUCCUAAAGCCCUGGGAACCCCUGUUCCCUCAAACCCCUGGACCACCACACAGAGAACUAUCUCCAGGCCUGGACUUCCCCUGACUUGGGGACAGCUUUAUACUCAGAUUUCUCUCUGUUUUCAACUGGACUAUCUUCUGUACAACCAAGAGAGCCCCAUUCAAGUGUUUUGAGGACUGGUCUCCAAGGGGGAAGGGGAGGAGGGAUGCCAUUUAGGGUUAUAGAUUCCCCAACUCUGCCAGCUCUAACUUGGCCCUGAGUCGCUACUAUGUAAAUUAAAUCUACCCUGCACCACCCCUCUCUAUAAAAAAAAGUAGUAGGGUGAUAGGAGCAUAUGUGCUCUAAUGAGGUAACUCUUAGCAGGCCUCUAGAUAGCUUCAGGAUGGAGGCAGGUCAUCAGGAAGACCAAGCCUUGAUUAGAAGCUUGAAACUUUCAGCCCCAACCCCCAACCUCCAGGGAGGGAAAAGGGAUUAGAAAUUGAGUUACUCAUGAAUGGUCAGUGAUGUAAUUAAUUGCGCUUAUUUAAUAAAACCUCCAUAAAAGCCCCUAAACAAUGGCAGUUUGGAAGAGCUUCCGGGUUGGUAAACACGUGGAGCUGCACAUGGAGAGUGCAUAGAAGCCCCCAACCCCCAUACCUUCUGUGAAUCUCUUCCAUUUGGCUGUUCCUGAAUUGUAUCCUUUAUAAUAAACCUAUAAUAGCAAGUAGAGUGCUUUCCUGAGUUCUGUGAGUAAUUCUAGCAAAUUACUGAUCCUGGGCUGCCUGGUGGGGAUCGGGGAUGUGGUCAGGGAAAUGUCUGAGUCAGGGAGGUGUUGUUCCCUGAAAGGUAGCCUAGACAUUCCAUUGGCAGUUGGCAUCUGAAGUAGGAGCAGUCUUAUGGGAUUAAGCCCUUGACCCAGGGUGUCUGCACUAACUCUGGGAAUUGGUAUCAGAAUUGAAUAGAAUUGUUGGACACCCAGUUGGUGUCUGAGCUGGCUGGUGUGAGUAAAAGCCUUUUGGAUUUAUUGCUUGUUCUCUUUUUCUAUCUGAUCCUUUCUCUCUGUCUCAGAUCACUCAUUGUGGAAGAAAUCUGAUGCCACGUCUUGAGGACACUCAAGUGGCCUAUGGAGAGGCGAACAUCAUGAGCUGGACUUGUGGAAUACAUACAGAUGAUGCCUCCAAUUACUCAGAGGUUAAGAAGAACAUUAUAUUGCCUCACAAAUCCUGUUUGUUACUGUAUAGACUUGUAAAAAUUAUGGAAGAAACUGAAGGAAUUACUCCUCUAAAGCAGACAAGACAAGGGGUGAAACAGAGGAGCAGCGACCUCCUUGCCAUUGGUUAGAAUGAAGUGAGGGGAGCUACCAGAACGCAGAGGUAUUAAUCUCCUGUUACUCUGAUGUUACCUCAGACCCUCGUCUACUAUUUAUUUGGCUAUACUCCCAGCACAGUGAUUUACAUCUUGGAGGAAGUGGUAUUUAAAUGUGUGUGCAUGAGAUUCUGUUGGGGAGUUUGUUAACAACGCAGAUUCCUGAGCUCUAGCCUGCUCUAUGAAAUCUGCGUCCCUAGAGGAUUAGCACCCAGGAAUGUUCAUCGAUAAGCUUUUCUAGCCAGUAUGAUUUGGUAGGUGGUCUCACGACCACAUUUUUGGAAACAGACUUAGGAUGACAUGAAAAGUGACGUCAGGCUGUGCUAAGUGCCAAGCCUUGAGUGGAAAGGUGUUUUAAGCCGCUAUCUUAUCU